rnacentral:rRNA from 1 species
CAGUAGCCGCGGGAAUACGUAGGUGGCAAGCGUUGUCCGGAAUUAUUGGGCGUAAAGGGCUCGCAGGCGGUUUCUUAAGUCUGAUGUGAAAGCCCCCGGCUCAACUGGGGAGGGUCAUUGGAAACUGGGAAACUUGAGUGCAGAAGAGGAGAGUGGAAUUCCACGUGUAGCGGUGAAAUGCGUAGAGAUGUGGAGGAACACCAGUGGCGAAGGCGACUCUCUGGUCUGUAACUGACGCUGAGGAGCGAAAGCGUGGGGAGCGAACAGGAUUAGAUACCCCCGUAGUCCCUGUCUCUUAUAC